GCCGGGCAUGGUGGCUCAGGCCUGUAAUCCCAGCACUUUGGGAGGCUGAGGUGGGUGAAUCACUUGAGGCCAGGAGUUCAAGACCAGCCUGGCCAACAUGGUGAAAUCCCAUCUCUA
ensembl:misc_RNA Metazoa_SRP Metazoan signal recognition particle RNA